ACUGUAUUCGAGUGAGUGGAUAGAGUUGUGAUUCUCUAGCACCAUUCGAAUUCAGUGC
rnacentral:precursor_RNA from 1 species